rnacentral:tRNA from 1 species
AAGGUUUUAAGUUAAAUUAAACUAAUAUCCUUCAAAGUUAUAAAUAAAGAAAUUCAAUUCUUUAGGCCUUA